UCCCCCAUAGCGCAGUUGGUUUAGCGCGUCCGACUGUUAGGUCAUGACAGAAAAAUCGGGAGGUCGACAGUUCAAGCCUGUCUGGGGGAG